rnacentral:sRNA from 1 species
UAACGUCUACUUUUUGGAUUCUUCCGGAU